GGUUAAGUGACUAAGCGUACACGGUGGAUGCCUAGGCAGUCAGAGGCGAUGAAGGGCGUGCUAAUCUGCGAAAAGCACCGGUAAGGUGAUAUGAACCGUUAUAGCCGGCGAUACCCGAAUGGGGAAACCCAGUGUGAUACGUCACACUAUCGUUAAGUGAAUACAUAGCUUGACGAAGCGAACCGGGGGAACUGAAACAUCUAAGUACCCCGAGGAAAAGAAAUCAACCGAGAUCCCCCCAGUAGCGGCGAGCGAACGGGGGCCAGCCCAGAACCUGAAUCAGCGGGUGUGUUAGUGGAAGCGUCUGGAAAGUCGCGCAGUAAAGGGUGAUAGCCCCGUACACAAAAAUGCACUGGCUGUGAGUUCGAUGAGUAGGGCGGGACACGUGACAUCCUGUCUGAAUAUGGGGGGACCAUCCUCCAAGGCUAAAUACUCCUGACUGACCGAUAGUGAACCAGUACCGUGAGGGAAAGGCGAAAAGAACCCCGGCGAGGGGAGUGAAAAAGAACCUGAAACCGUGUACGUACAAGCAGUGGGAGCACCGUUGAGGUGUGACUGCGUACCUUUUGUAUAAUGGGUCAGCGACUUAUAUUUUGUAGCAAGGUUAACCGCAUAGGGGAGCCGUAGGGAAACCGAGUCUUAACUGGGCGAAGAGUUGCAAGGUAUAGACCCGAAACCCGGUGAUCUAGCCAUGGGCAGGUUGAAGGUUGGGUAACACCACCUGGAGGACCGAACCGACUAAUGUUGAAAAAUUAGCGGAUGACCUGUGGCUGGGGGUGAAAGGCCAAUCAAACCGGGAGAUAGCUGGUUCUCCCCGAAAGCUAUUUAGGUAGCGCCUCGUGAAUUCAUCUUCGGGGGUAGAGCACUGUUUCGGCUAGGGGGCCAUCCCGGCUUACCAACCCGAUGCAAACUGCGAAUACGAAGCAUGUUAUCACGGGAGACACACGCGGGUGCUAACGUCCGUCGUGAAGAGGGAAACAACCCAGACCGCCAGCUAAGGUCCCAAAGUCAUGGUUAAGUGGAAACGAUGUGGGAAGGCCCAGACAGCCAGGAUGUUGGCUUAGAAGCAGCCAUCAUUGAAAGAAAGCGUAAUAGCUCACUGGUCGAGUCGGCCUGCGCGGAAGAUGUAACGGGCUAAACCAUGCACCGAAGCUGCGGCAGCGGCGCUGAUGCGUUGUUGGGUAGGGGAGCGUUCUGUAAGCCGUUGAAG
rnacentral:ncRNA from 1 species